GAUGAACGCUGGCGGCGUGCCUAAUACAUGCAAGUCGAGCGAACAGACGAGGAGCUUGCUCCUCUGACGUUAGCGGCGGACGGGUGAGUAACACGUGGAUAACCUACCUAUAAGACUGGGAUAACUUCGGGAAACCGGAGCUAAUACCGGAUAAUAUAUUGAACCGCAUGGUUCAAUAGUGAAAGACGGUUUUGCUGUCACUUAUAGAUGGAUCCGCGCCGCAUUAGCUAGUUGGUAAGGUAACGGCUUACCAAGGCAACGAUGCGUAGCCGACCUGAGAGGGUGAUCGGCCACACUGGAACUGAGACACGGUCCAGACUCCUACGGGAGGCAGCAGUAGGGAAUCUUCCGCAAUGGGCGAAAGCCUGACGGAGCUACGCCGCGUGAGUGAUGAAGGUCUUCGGAUCGUAAAACUCUGUUAUUAGGGAAGAACAAAUGUGUAAGUAACUAUGCACGUCUUGACGGUACCUAAUCAGAAAGCCACGGCUAACUACGUG
rnacentral:rRNA from 1 species